GCUUCCCUUUGGGUCUUGUGACCCGGCCUCCAAAGUGUAUGAUGUCUUUAGCAAUACCAUUUAGAACUCACUGUUUACCCAGGACAGCCAAGAGCAGUCGAAAUGUUUUGGGGAGUCUCUUGGACAACCCUGACAACUUCAGAAGACUAAUAGGGACUUUUCAUGCCUGUGUUGAGUUUUGGUUAGGCAAUCUUUGGCUCUUGGAUAAAGCAUUGUCAUCCAGAGGGGAGAUUUUUAUGUAAAGUAUUGUGUUUUUACACCAACUUAUACAUUACAUGUAAUUUUAGGUAGAUAAUAUGAUUCCUUAUGACUUUCAGAUGUCCUUCUGUAUUGUGUCCCUGCCUCCUCCCUAAUUAACCCCAUUUCCCUCUUCAGAUCACUUAUACCCCGCUGUUUCUAUUGCCCCCUCUUCCUUUGUUACUGUACUGAUUUCAGCAGUAGGCUGGGUAAUACACUUAUCUAGGAAACACAUGAGAGAAAACAUUCAAUGUUUGUCUUUCUGAGUUAGCUCACUCAAUAUGAUCUUUACUAGUUCAGUGCAUUUACCUGCAAUUUCAUUUUUGGUUUUUUGCUUUUUUUUUUAGCCACAAAUAAUAUUUUUGGCAUACAUGAAAUUUCCUCCCUAUGAUACAUUUAAAGCAAAGUUUCUUUUCAUCAAUAGAAAGAAUGGCAUGUUGUUAGUUAAAAUAUAAGCAAAUUUUCAUUUUAAAAAUUACUAAUCCCUUUCAUUUGAAAAUAGGAAAUUAUACUUACUCUGUUUUUAAAGCUAAUAUACAACAUUUACAUAUUCUCCAACAUUUGAUAUUGCUUCUUUUUUUUUUUACUUAAACCAUUGUGAUAACAGUACAUUUUCUUAGUGGCUUACUGAUACCUAUGUUCUUAUUUCUCAUGGGGGUGUCUUUGCUGUGAAUUUUUUGUUUGUUUGUUUUCUUACUGGAUUUUCCUCUCUUUUUUUUAAACUUACCUGUCUUGACAGUUCUUUACAUAUCCAAGAUCUAGCUAGAUUAGUCUAGCUAGAUCCAUAUAUUGGUAUCUUUUGUCUAAAAAAUGGUGUAGUUUACACUUAAGGCUUUGGUCUAAUUUCUUAGAGAGAUUUUUAUUCAGAUUUAAUUUGUAUCCUAUGAAGUUAAUUGGGGUUAAUGUAAAAUGGCCAGAUGGAAUGAUUUCAAACUAAAACUUUGAGAUCUCUACUCUCUUUAGGCUUUGUUGAAUGUGGUUUGUCUUUGGUUUUUCUGCAUCUCUGUAAAAAGCCAGUUUGGAGAUACAUGUGUGUCUGAGUUCUUUGCUUGGUUGCAAUGGUCCCUGUGUGUAUCUUUCUGCCAUUACCAUGGUGGGUGUACAGCUCUGUAAGGUUUAAAACUAAAUGGGCUUGCUUUUUGUUUUACUCUUCAUUUUUGAAGUCAUCUUAGUUUUUCUGUCUGCUUUGCUGCUCCCUAUUAAUUUUAGAAUAAUCUUACCUAUGGUUCUUAAAACACACUGUUUUGUUCAUUGUGUUAAAAUAGCCUUAAAACCAUGUGUAAGCUUACUGUACUGCCUAGCAACCAUACUUUAGAGCUUUGGCUGUAAAGAAAAGUGGGCUCCCAGUAAGUGUGCACACUGUAUGUACAUUAGCUUUAUCAGCAGUAGCCCAGACUUAAUAAGUAACUGAAUGUUCUUCAAUGGGUGAGUGGCUAAGUAGACACUGUACCUUCUUUCCUCUCAUAAUGUUCCUCAGUAAUAAAGGGAAUGUACUAUUAAUAAAUAGCAAGGUGAGUGAAUUUCAGCAACGUUGUACU
rnacentral:lncRNA from 1 species